UCCAGAGGUGGCAAGCGUUGUUCGGAAUUACUGGGCGUAAAGGGCGCGUAGGCGGCCUUCUAAGUCAGACGUGAAAUCCCCCGGCUUAACCUGGGAACUGCGUCUGAUACUGGAGGGCUUGAGUGCGGGAGAGGGAUGUGGAAUUCCAGGUGUAGCGGUGAAAUGCGUAGAUAUCUGGAGGAACACCGGUGGCGAAGGCGGCAUCCUGGACCGACACUGACGCUGAGGCGCGAAAGCGUGGGGAGCAAACAGG
rnacentral:rRNA from 1 species